rnacentral:rRNA from 1 species
CCCAGACUCCUACGGGAGGCAGCAGUGGGGGAUAUUGCACAAUGGGGGAAACCCUGAUGCAGCGACGCCGCGUGGGUGAAGAAGUAUUUCGGUAUGUAAAGCCCUAUCAGCAGGGAAGAAAGAAGACGGUACCUGACUAAGAAGCCCCGGCUAACUACGUGCCAGCAGCCGCGGUAAUACGUAGGGGGCGAGCGUUAUCCGGAUUCACUGGGUGUAAAGGGAGCGUAGACGGCCGUGCAAGCCAGGAGUGAAAGCCCGGGGCCCAACCCCGGGACUGCCCUUGGAACUGUGCGGCUGGAGUGCGGGAGGGGCAGGCGGAAUUCCUGGUGUAGCGGUGAAAUGCGUAGAUAUCAGGAGGAACACCGGCGGCGAAGGCGGCCUGCUGGACCGCGACUGACGUUGAGGCUCGAAAGCGUGGGGAGCGAACAGGAUUAGAUACCCCUGUA